rnacentral:tRNA from 1 species
GAGGGUAUAGCUAAACUGGUAGAGUGCGUGCUUGGCAUGCAUGAGGUCCUGGGUUCAAUCCCCAGUACCUCCA